rnacentral:rRNA from 1 species
CCUACGGGAGGCAGCAGUGGGGAAUAUUGGACAAUGGGCGAAAGCCUGAUCCAGCCAUGCCGCGUGUGUGAAGAAGGCCUUCGGGUUGUAAAGCACUUUCAGUGGGGAAGAAAGCCUUGGGGCUAAUACCCUCGAGGAAGGACAUCACCCACAGAAGAAGCACCGGCUAACUCCGUGCCAGCAGCCGCGGUAAUACGGAGGGUGCGAGCGUUAAUCGGAAUUACUGGGCGUAAAGCGCGCGUAGGCGGUCUGAUAAGCCGGUUGUGAAUGCCCCGGGCUCAACCUGGGAACGGCAUCCGGAACUGUCAGGCUAGAGUGCAGGAGAGGAAGGUAGAAUUCCCGGUGUAGCGGUGAAAUGCGUAGAGAUCGGGAGGAAUACCAGUGGCGAAGGCGGCCUUCUGGACUGACACUGACGCUGAGGUGCGAAAGCGUGGGUAGCAAACAGGAUUAGAUACCCCAGUAGUC